UACGGAGGGUGCAAGCGUUGUUCGGAAUCAUUGGGCGGAAAGCGCGUGUAGGCGGCUUGGUAAGUCGGGUGUGAAAUCCCGGGGCCCAACCCCGGAACUGCAUUCGAAACUGCCUCGCUAGAGUCCCGGAGAGGAAGGCGGAAUUCCCGGUGUAGAGGUGAAAUUCGUAGAUAUCGGGAGGAACACCAGCGGCGAAGGCGGCCUUCUGGACGGUGACUGACGCUGAGACGCGAAAGCGUGGGGAGCAAACAGG
rnacentral:rRNA from 1 species